GCCAGAUGAUGAUAACAAGGUGUAAUGUAGAAAACUGCGGGUUCUGACUCAAAUCUUUGCGUCAAACCAGAGUAACCAUAUUGUCUGUAAUCUUGGGGCGAUGCUGUGAGUACCAGCACGUCCUGUAAGGCCGGACAUAGAUCUAUUGCCUGCACACUUCUCUGUGCCGAGAUAUGGUACACGAGACAUGAUGGGCACACAGGGAGGGGUUGGGGGGUGGGGACGGGAAAACCUGCAGUUUUCCAUGACCGACAUUUUUAGUAAUCUGAUGACA